CCUACGGGUGGCAGCAGUGGGGAAUAUUGGACAAUGGGGGGAACCCUGAUCCAGCCAUGCCGCGUGUGUGAAGAAGGCCCUCGGGUUGUAAAGCACUUUCAGUGAGGAAGAACGCCUGGUGGUUAAUACCCAUCAGGAAAGACAUCACUCACAGAAGAAGCACCGGCUAACUCCGUGCCAGCAGCCGCGGUAAUACGGAGGGUGCGAGCGUUAAUCGGAAUUACUGGGCGUAGAGCGCGCGUAGGUGGCUUGAUAAGCCGGUUGUGAAAGCCCCGGGCUCAACCUGGGAACGGCAUCCGGAACUGUCAAGCUAGAGUGCAGGAGAGGAAGGUAGAAUUCCCGGUGUAGCGGUGAAAUGCGUAGAGAUCGGGAGGAAUACCAGUGGCGAAGGCGGCCUUCUGGACUGACACUGACACUGAGGUGCGAAAGCGUGGGUAGCAAACAGGAUUAGAUACCCUAGUAGUC
rnacentral:rRNA from 1 species